rnacentral:rRNA from 1 species
GCACGAUUAGCUAGUUGGCGGGGUAAUGGCCCACCAAGCCGAAGACGGGUAGCAGGUGUGAGAGCACGACCUGCAACAUCGGGACUGAGACACUGCCCGGACUCCUACGGGAGGCUGCAGCGACGAAUCUUCCGCAAUGGGCGCAAGCCUGACGGAGCAAUGCCGCGUGUGGGAUGAAGCACCUCCGGUGUGUAAACCACUGUCAGGGGACGGAACCAAUGAUUGUCCCCAAAGGAAGUGGCGACUAACUCUGUGCCAGCAGUCGCGGUAAUACAGAGGCCACGAGCGUUAGUCGGAAUCACUGGGCUUAAAGGGUGCGUAGGCGGCUCAGCACGUGCUUCGUGAAAGCCCCUGGCUCAACCAGGGAAUUGCGGGGCAUACGGCUGGGCUUGAGGCGUGUAGGGGCUGUCAGAACAGUAGGUGGAGCGGUGAAAUGCGUAGAUAUCUACUGGAAUGCCGAUGGUGAAGACGGGCAGCUGGGCACGACCUGACGCUGAGGCACGAAAGCGUGGGGAGCA